AACGAACGCUGGCGGCAGGCUUAACACAUGCAAGUCGAGCGCUCCGCAAGGGGAGCGGCAGACGGGUGAGUAACGCGUGGGAAUCUACCCAUCUCUACGGAAUAACGCAUGGAAACGUGUGCUAAUACCGUAUACGUCCUUCGGGAGAAAGAUUUAUCGGAGAUGGAUGAGCCCGCGUUGGAUUAGCUAGUUGGUGGGGUAAAGGCCUACCAAGGCGACGAUCCAUAGCUAGUCUGAGAGGAUGAUCAGCCACACUGGGACUGAGACACGGCCCAGACUCCUACGGGAGGCAGCAGUGGGGAAUAUUGGACAAUGGGCGCAAGCCUGAUCCAGCCAUGCCGCGUGAGUGAUGAAGGCCCUAGGGUUGUAAAGCUCUUUCACCGGUGAAGAUAAUGACGGUAACCGGAGAAGAAGCCCCGGCUAACUUCGUGCCAGCAGCCGCCGCAGUAA
rnacentral:rRNA from 1 species